UAACAAAAGGGAGUAUAGAGUCUCUUUAAAAGCCUGCUAAAUAGAAAUGGCCUUUUAGGGAGGAGAGAGAAAGAAUGAGGCGUGUUACCAUAGUAACUGCCAAUGGUUUAUUUAAGAAGGGCAAAGAAACAAACACCACAAAAAGGCAAAGUCAAGAGGAACUGAAGAUUGCCGAAGGAAUUUGUGACCAGACGGAUGUCCGGAUACUGACACCGAAGGGUGAGGUCAUUGCAGCAGGCAGGAGCGUUCAGGCUUCCGUCACUCAUUACUCCAAGCUCCCGCUCCUUAAAGGAAGAUUAAAGUAAGCUUUAAUCAUAGGAUCAUGGACAUUUAGGGCUAGAAGAGAUCAUUGCAGCAGAAGAAAGCUCCCACCAGGUCAGGAGCAUGCGCCAAAGACUUCGAACAUGCUGGCAUCUCCGGUGGCCAAGGAUGCUGCCUGCCUUCUCUUAUCCCAUGUGCUACCUAACUUUCUCCUCAAAUGUUUUUGCUCAGAUGAUAUAUUUCAUAUGUAAAAUGACCAAUCAUAGUGAUUUGCAUUCAUUCUUAUGGUGCUUAGGAGGCUCCAUCCUGGCCCAGGACCACUUUGUGCUGAAUCCUGCAUGUUCAGAGAACAUCAAGAUAGGCCUGCCGCAGAGAGCUCGUGGCCUGAGAAAAGAAACAAGAGAUGAAAAAGCAGGUGUGACAAUACCCAGAAACUCUGUGACGGGACUGUCCCACGCUGAACCCCAGGGGAUCGAAUACCAGAGGCAGCUCAAAAGUCCCCACAUUUGGGGUUUCUCUUGCUGUUUUGUUAUUAGUCUUUUAGUUUCUAAAUAAAUCUAAGGAUUCCC